CCUACGGGAGGCAGCAGUGGGGGAUAUUGGACAAUGGGGGGAACCCUGAUCCAGCGACGCCGCGUGAGUGAAGAAGUAUUUCGGUAUGUAAAGCUCUGUCAGCAGGGAAGAAAGCAAUGACGGUACCUGACCAAGAAGCCCCGGCUAACUACGUGCCAGCAGCCGCGGUAAUACGUAGGGGGCAAGCGUUAUCCGGAAUUACUGGGUGUAAAGGGUGCGUAGACGGCUGUGCAAGUCUGGAGUGAAAGGCGGGGGCCCAACCCCCGGACUGCUCUGGAACCUGUAUGGCUGGAGGGCAGGAGAGGUAAGCGGAAUUCCUAGUGUAGCGGUGAAAUGCGUAGAGAUUAGGAGGAACACCAGUGGCGAAGGCGGAUUACUGGACUGUAACUGACGUUGAGGCUCGAAAGCGUGGGGAGCAAACAGGAUUAGAUACCCCAGUAGUC
rnacentral:rRNA from 1 species